rnacentral:rRNA from 1 species
UACAGAGGGUGCGAGCGUUGUCCGGAAUCAUUGGGCGUAAAGGGCGCGUAGGCGGCCUGACAAGUGGAAGGUGAAAUCCCUCGGCUCAACCGGGGAACUGCGUCUGAUACUGGAUGGCUUGAAUUCGGGAGAGGGAUGCGGAAUUCCAGGUGUAGCGGUGAAAUGCGUAGAUAUCUGGAGGAACACCGGUGGCGAAGGCGGCAUCCUGGACCGAGAUUGACGCUGAUGCGCGAAAGCCAGGGGAGCAAACGGG